CCCCCAAAAGAAUUUUAGAGCUCAAACAGUCCCCCAGGCUAUGAAACUGAAUUGGGUUUUCCCUUAUUUUAUCUAGGUCUUUUACAGGCAGAGUGAAGACCAGUGAAGAUUUGUAAACAAGAACUCUAUGGCUUUGAAUCAAGUAUGAAUGAACAGCUUCAAGGAGAGACAUCUUAAGAAAUUCUUUGGUCUCUAGUAGUGGAGAGAAGACAAGAGGAAGGAGAGCAAAUCUGGGAGGAGCCAUAGCUAAGGAGGGAAGGCAGAAGGGGGAAAUCUUCAAACCCCCUCUCCUCUCUCUGGGCCAACCCUAAACAUCUGCUGUCCUCUCCUAGAUCCAGUUCCCUUUACUAUCCUCAAACCUUUUCUCCAUACACUCUGCAGUAGAGUGUAGGAGAUGCAUAUUUUCAACUCUUCUGAGUCUACAGUGUUCUGUUUCAUCUAUUAUCAGUUAUUGUGCAUUGUUGUUAUUUUUUCAUUCUGCUUUUUUAAUUUUCAUUCUGAAUUCCCAAAAGAACUGAGUUUUAGGCCCUUGUCUUUUUUCUUGUGUCACUUCCCCUAAUUCUAGGUCUACCAAUCACAAUUGAGGUUCUGCUCUAGGACUUCCCAGAACACAGUUAGUUGAUUCUGAUUUGUUACCCACUAUGGUACACUUGGGUCACACACCUCCCACUUCAUGAGUAAGUGGGAUAGUUGCACUUUUGGUGAUUAGAUUUUCAUUCUUUUUCAAUUCUGUAAAUAGACAUCCACUUUGGCGCAGUAGGUAGCACAUCAGUCUCAGUCUGGGCUGAAGGUCUAGUUCAAUCCUCCUUGGAAGGAGGGUGUGAUAUACUGGGAAAGGCUUCUGGAGACAAAAGUUAUUUGACUUUGGGUGGGGUCUACCUCCCACCUGAAGAGGAUGUCUAUUGUCUGGUGAAGUGGAACCUUCCCUCAAGAGGAAGCCUCUCCUGUGACAAGGUCAAAACCUGGGGUUUCUACCUCUCAACUAAAUAAACUGGGGAUGUCUAGGUUUCCACAUUGACACUGUAUAUUGAUUCCAAAGGCAGAAGAGCAGUAAGGGCUAGACAAUUAGGGGUUAAGUGGCUUGCCCUGGGUCACACAGAUAGGAAGUGUCAGAGGCCAUAUUUGAAUCUAGGACCUUCAGUUUUCCCUACAGUCUACAUAACAUCUUAAAAAAGAAGUGAGGGGGCACAUAGGUAGCUCAGUGGAUUGAGAGCCAGUCCUAGAGAGGCUUCUGGAGACUAGAAGAGUCACUAGACUUUGGCUUGAACUGAAGUGAAUUGUGGAUUCUCACAUGAACAGGCUCAAACCUGAGGCUUUCACCUCGGAGCUACAUAAAAACUGGGGAAUCACCAUAUCUUUCCAAGCUACAAGUUUGGGGACCUCUAGAUUCCAGGUUGACACAGAACACUAAUUUAUCUUCAACCAGAUAGACCUCAGCCCUUGUAGCCAAGACCUGGGGAAGUCUCUUCAGAAAAAUCCAGCAGUUAUCACUCACCACAUGUCAGUCCAGUCAGCAGAUCCUUCUGCCCCACUUCACCAGCCUCAGCUAGAAAGCAUGAAGAUUUUCUCUAGUCUACACUUCCAAAAAUUAUCUGUCAUAGCAGGUUCCACUCCCUGUGAGAGUUCCAAGUAGAAUUCCCAGAAGAACUGAGUUUAGGACCUUGUCUUUUUUCUUGUGUCACUUCCCCUAAUUCCAGGUCUAUCAAUCACAAUUGAGGCUCUGCUCUAAGACUGCCCAGAAGGCAGUUAGUUGAUUCUGAUUUGUUACCCACUAUGGUACACUUGGGUCACAGACCUCCCACUUCAUGAGUAAGUGGGAUAUUUGCACUUUUGGUGAUUAGAUCUAAAUGGGCAGGUCUCCAUACUUAACUUUUAAGUAGAGUGUUUAUACUUAUGGAUAUUAAAAUCUAAAAAUAGACAUGAGUUACAAUUUUAAUCUUUACAAUCAAGGAAGGACUAAGUACCUUCAUUGUUACAAUCAGGGGAGAGUUAAAUUUAAUCUUCACAAUCCCAAAGAAAUCAAAGUUAGGAGAAAAGGACCUACUGGUACAAAAAUAUUUGUAAGGACUCUGUUGAGGCAAAGAAUUGGAAAUGGGACAUCCAUCAAUUGGGGAAUGACUGAACAAGUUGUGGUAUAUGAUUAUAAUGGAAUCCCAUGGUGCCAUAAGAACAAAUGAGACAAUUUCAGAAAACUUUUCAGAAUUUCAGAAAUGAUGCAAAGUGAAGAAAGCAGAACCAGGAAAACUUUUACAGUGUAACAUCAAUAUUGUAGGAUCCAUUGUAAAAAAACUUUUCAACAAUGCAAGGAUCCAAAGCAGAGGUAUCACUUACAUUACUUGGAGGAGCUGGAUGGCUCAGUGGAUUGAGAGCCAGGACUAGAGACAGGAGGUCCUAGGUUCAAAUCUGGCCUCAGACACUUCCCAGCUAUGUGACCCUGGGCAAGUCACUUUAAUCCCCAUUGCCUAGCCUUUACCACUCUUCUCCCAUGGAAACAAUACACAGUGUUGAUUCUAAGACCAAAAGUAAGGAUUAAAAAAAAAAAACUUACAUUGCUUGUUACCUUGGGAAGGGGGAAGAGGAAAGUCAGAAAGUGAAUGUUAAAAAUUGUUUCUGUUUGAAACUGGGAAAAAUACAAAAAAACAAAACAAAAACCCUAAAACUGUGUUGGGACAUCAGUUCAGUGGAUUGAGAGCCAGGCCUGGAGACAGGAGGUCUUGGGUUCAGACACUAUCUUCAGACACUUCCUAAAUCUGUGACCCUGGUCUUCUGUUUGAAACCAAUACACAGUACUGAUAAGACAGAAAGUUAAGGUUUAAAAAAAAUGAUAAUGAUCAGAACUUUGGUCCAUCCCUCUAUGCUGUCAUUUUAUAAUGUCCUGAUUCUGGUUUCUUAUACCCUUAAUAUAAAGAUGUAUUUGCUUCUUAGAAGUUUAUAAUUGAAGCAAUAUCCUUCCUUAAAUUAAGGACUAUAAACAAAUUGAUCCUGCUUGCUAUAGAAUAUAUAUGUAUAUCCAUACAUGUAUAAGGAAGACCUUUCUCCUCCUUGGGGGUUCUUUAUGCAUUGGAAAUUUAUUCUUCCUUCCCAAUAGAAUCUGAAUUAGCUUUCAUAUUUAGAAUCCCUAGAGAGAAAGCCAGAGGAACUUUUAUAUGGCCUUGGACCCUACUCUGAGAUGUACAUCCCAAGGUUAUUCUCCUAACAUAGCUUAGAGUUUACCCGGUAUGAACCUCUCAUUUUAUAGAAAAAGGAAGGAAAAUCCAUCCAGAGUAACUUGCCCAAAGUCAAACAAUUAGUAGAGGGUGGUGUGAACUUUAAUUGACAGGGCAGAGAUAAGCUACUUUUAAAAUGGAAGGUCAUGAGGAGAAAAGUGUAUCCAGAAUGAAGAUUAAGUAUUUUAAUUAUAUAUUUUUAUCAGUUUUAAAUAAUUAUUUAAUUAUAGAAGAAUGCCUGUGCAAGGAUUUUUAUUAUCUACUCAUAUGUGUAUGUAUUAAAACAAUAUGUAAUUUGUGCUCAUUAUAUCUUUUCAGAAACCUUCAACAAGGGUAUUUACCCCUGACUCUUAGUUUCCUCACUUAGGAACUAGUCUACAAAAGUUGGACUGUAUUACUUCUAUAAUAUCCCUGUCAGCUCUACUUUAAGAUUAGUUUGGGAGCUAGUUUCCUCAGAUAUAUGUUUGGAAUGGUUGAUUUAAUAAAUGCAAGAAUACAUCUUCCUCUGAAGAGAAAUGUGUAAGAGAUAAGGAUAGAUACACAGCAGGAGAGAUGACAGUCUUCUUAGUGAAAGGGGAUCAAAUAAAGGUCAGAUCCUGAGAGAAAGGACUAGGGACUCCAGAAGGACUAUGUUAAAAGUAUGCUUUCUGAGGAAGUUGCUAGAGUAUUCAUAAGAUAUAACAAUUAAUUAUUAAGGGACAGUUUGAAUGAAACAACAUAAAUCAAGUAAUCAAAUGUGUGGUAUAAGUUAUAAAGUUAUGAGUCUUCCAAAGAAGUGAAAUUACAACAAAAUAAAUUUUUCAUUCAACAUUUUCAUCCCACAAGUACAAUGAAGUGUUUAGUAUUAACUCUUUUGACUUUUUACUCAUUUUCCAAUCUUUGUGAAAUACUAAAUAAGUGUCAGUCACAAACAAGUUUAUUAUAUUCCAUAAAAUAAUGAAUUACACUUAUAGCACUAAAGAAGAAAAGUUUAAACUUUUAUUUCAGAAAUUGAUGUAGGUAAGUAGCAUAAAUUGAAUAAUAUGUCCUCGAUUCCUGUCAACCCUAAAAUGGAGAUAAUAUUUUUGUAUUUUUUAAUAGAAGUACAUUUUAGCAGAAGCAUAAUUUGUUUAUAUAACCUUUUUAAGUUGACCAAGUGCUUGCCUCACAACCCAGUGAUAUCAAUAGAGCAGGUAUUCAAAUAUUCAUUUUGCAGAUGGGGAAACAAGUAUCACUAGAACUUCAAACCAGUUCCUAGAGUCACUUUCAUACCUGUUAUAACACAGCAUGGACAACUUGGGCAGUUUUACCUUAAAUUCUAAGGCAUAUUCAAAGGCAAUAAUUUUCACAGACCAAAGAAAACAGUUUUAAUAAAUGUCAGAAACCAAUGACACUCAGAAGGCAGUUGAAUCUGAUAACACUACUUUGUAAAUCACCUUGAAAUAUUCUUAAGGUCUGGCAAUUCCUCCUAAUAGUGUCUCGGGCAAACUGAGAAUAAUUUCUGAAAGCAAACUUUUCAGAGCAUACCUGUCUCUGGUAGCAAUUUUAUAGCAAUCAUUAAUUGAUUCAUUGGACAUUUAUUAAAGACCUAUUAUAUACUGUCUCUGUCAUACAUAGUACUAAAGACAUCCAUAAACCACUGUUGACUGAAUGAUUGUGCCUACUUAAAAAGCAGUCAGGUCAAAGAAAAAAUGCUCAGCAGCUUUCUUUGUUAAACCCUAUGAGUUCAGUUUUAUCUAUUAAAAUAUUAGGAAAUUAGAGAACUAGAUAGAAUCAAGGUAAAAUCAAAUUCUAAUUUGCCCAGAGUCUCUGACCAUUUAAGUAUGAUUACAUAAAGUAAUCUUUGAACUGUAUGAAGAAGGCUUCUCAUUGGGUCAAAAAUUUAGAGUUGAAAGUUCCAACCUCCUCAGAGUGCCUGGUCUGGAAUCAGGAAAAUCUGAAUGCAGAUCUUACCUCAGGCACUUACCGUUCAUAUGACCCUGGGCAAAGCACUUAAUCCUCUUUGCCUCAUCUGUAAAAGGAGCUGGAGAAGAAAAAGGGCAAACCAGUGCUGUAACUGUGCCAAGAAAACCUGGAAUGGGGUCAUGAAGAGUAAGAAACAACUGAACAACAAUCAAGAAUGCACAGCUAGUGAGUGGAAGAUAGGACUAGAACAAAAUCAUAAGAUCAUGGGAUCACAAAUUUAAAGCUGGAAGAGAAUUCAGAAGUAUGUUAAGGGGAAUCUCCACUCAUUUACAGAGGAAACUGAGGCCUAAAGAGAUUAAAUGAAAAAAAAAUUAAAUGAUUUGUUAAUGGUCACACUGAUAGCAAGAGUAGUAUAAUAACAAUAGCAGCAUUUAUAUAACACCUUUUGCAAAGCACUUACAAAUAUCUCAUUUUAACCUCAACAACCCUGGGAGAUAGAAAAUCAUCAUAAUAAUGAUUAUUACCAUUUUAAUAACUAACAUUUAUAUAGUAAUUACUGAAUGAAAUGACUGAAUAAACAACAACCUUAUUAAUUUAAAGGAAAUUAAGGCCAAAAGAGUUUAAAUGAUUUGCUUAUAGUAACACAAUGGCAAUGAUAGAAUUUGCACCUGAGUUCCUUGGCUCUAAAUACAUUGAUGUAGCCAUUGUACCAUGCCAAGCAAGUUUAAUGCCAAUAAAAAUUUAGGGGAGUGGCAGCUCGAUGACUUAGUGUAUUAAGGUCCAGGCCUAGAGAAAGGAGGUCCUGGGUUCAAAUGUGACCUCAGACACCUCCUAAGCUGUCUCACCCUGGGCAAGUCACUUAACCCACAUUGCUUGGCCCUUAGUAGUCUUCUGCCUUGGAACCAAUAUAUAGUAUUGAUUCUAAGAUGGAAGGUAAGGGUUUGAAAAAUAAAUUAAAAUAUAAGAUAUUAAGGAAUACUUUAAAAGAAACCAUUUAAAAGGACUUCAGUGUGAGGCUGACAGCAAAUGCUUCAAAUUGCAAACUAUAUUUAUUUAGUUAUUAAUACCUUAAAAGCCAUCUUUACAGGGGCAGCUGGGUGACCCAGUGGAGUGAGAGCCAAGCCAAAAGAUGGGAGUCUUUGGUUCAAAUCUGGCCUCAUACACUUCCCAGCUCUGUGACCCUGGGCAAGUCACUUAACCCCAAUUGCCUAGCCCUUACAAAAGAUGGAAGGGAAGGGUUUUGUUUGUUUUUUUUUAAGCUAUCUACAAAGAAAUAGUUAAGAGUUAGAAUUUACAGCUAUACUCUAAUGUGAUAAAAAAAAAUUAUUUAAAAAUAUUCACUAAGUUAAACUUCUCACAGACCUAACUUGUCUUUAAUUAAGAAAAAAUAAUUUAAAAUUAGGUAUUACUAAUGGCGUGGUAGAAAUAACAGUCUAGGAGUCAAGAGACCUGGAUUUUAAUGGCAUCCUAUGUAAGGUGGGUUUAGAGAUUAUGCCCAAGAUGAAUGGCAGUCAGUUAUAGAACCCAGAUCUCUUUCUUUCCACAGGUCUAGUUUGUCUGGGUUUGGGAGCUCUUCAGGAAGAGCAGCAUUCACAGUAGUGUUACAACACUCAUUCACGGAUUUGUAUUAAGCAUCUACUAUGUACUAAGCACUGAGAAGCAGUGACUAUUGCCUCCAGAAUCAUAUAAAAAAUGCUCUGUUUGGCAUUCAAAGUCCUUUAUAACUCGGCCCCCUUCUAUCUUUCCAGGCUUCUAAUACUUCACUUCCUGAAAUUUGCUCCACUACCCUAUGUUGAUGACCUCAGGCUAUUUUUGAAACUCUCCUUCUCUCAGCUCAGAGCAUUUUCUAGUGCCGCCUUCUCCCUUUUAAUUAUAUCAUAUACUUUAUUCUGUAUACUUCAUACUAAUCUUUUUUCUGUUGUGUCUGGACUCCUAGUGAACCCAUAUGGGGUUUUCUUGGCAAAGAUACUGAAGUGGUUUGCCAUUUCUUUCUCUAGCUCAUUUUACAGAUGAGGAAAGGGAGGAAAACAGGGUUAAGUGACUUGCCUCAGGUCACAUAGCUAAGUGUCUGAUGCCAGACUUGAACCAGAAAGAUGAGUCUUCUGGACUCUAUAUGCAACAUUCUAUCCACUGCACCACCUAAUUGUGCCAACAACAGCUUUUGUCUGUAUUUUGUUUGCUUGUUGUCUUUCCCAUUAUAUUAUGAACUCUAAGGACAAGUUCUGACUUGCCUCUUUUUGCAUCCCCAGUGCUUAGCACAGUGUCUGGCACAUAGCAUGUAAUUAAUAAAUAUUUAUUGACUAUUGAGAGUAAACUGGUUAAACAGAUGUGAAAAUAAAUAACUAGGGUGUCAUGUUGACAACCAAGCAAACUGACCUGAUUAAAUCUUGACUCAGCCACUAAAUAAAGUUUGGGUGUGGCAGUUUUCAGGCAGCUGGGCCAGGCUGAUGGAAUCAGAAAAUGAAUGAAGCAUUGUUUACAUUAUUUACACAGAUAGUCAUUACAGUGAGUGUUUUUUCCAGAUAAUGAUUAAACUCAAGAAAGAAAGAGUAUUAUGAGAGAUAGUUAACAAAAUGGAAUGGACUUCAGAAGACCUAAUUCAAGAUCUGCUUCAGACACAUACUACCUGUUUGCCCAUAAGCAAGACAAUCUCUCCAUACCCAACAUCUCCAUACAGAUAAGGUGUAUUGUUUUGGGCAUUGGAGUUUCCAUACAGGACCAAAAAUUUAAAUUUUUUUUCCAAUUUGAGAAUGGAAAAAAGGUCCUGAAGCUUUAACCUACUUCCUUUAGGCCCUCUCCCUUUAUUUCAAGGCUUAUAAAGUCCUGGGAUAGGGUGAAGGUAAUAAUUUCCCUUGACAAGUCACUUUAGGGCACUCCUUUUCUUACUCAUCCCACCAUCAACUCCACCCAUCUGUGGGGAGCCUCACUAGCAACUCUUCAGACCAAACAGAAAAGUCUAGGCAACUUCCAGCAUGCCCAAAGUCCCCAAAAAUUUAGGACAAAUUUAGGCUUUACAGGAAGAGACACUACAUGAAGACAAUAUAUAAAUACAUGUCCUGGCUUUUUAAAGCAUUCUUUUAAGUUGUUUUUUUUUAGGUGUGUGGUUUUAUUCCUCCCUUAAAUCUUUUUGCAUACACAUCUUAACAAGUUUUAGCUAUAUAACAAUUUAAAAAUACAAAAAUACAAAUAUCCAUUAUAAAUUCUCUACACUUAAUACAUUUUCCCCCAAUAAAUAAUCCUGAUUCAUUUACAAUAACAAUACUGUCAAUAGCAGGCCCACCCAAAAGGGUAUUGGAAUACUUUUUUUUAGUUGCAAAAUGAUACAGAGUAUUUUCACCUUUCCUCUUUGUCAGUGUUUCAGUGCCUGCAUUUUAAUUCAGAGCAAUACUAAUGCAAAGCAAUAAAUUAUUGUGAAAUAAAUGUGUCCAAAGAAAGAACUGUUGGAGUCCCACAGAUUAAAGCAUACUAUCUUUCACAUCAUUAUAUUUUGAGGUUUGGGUUUUGUAUGAUUGAGCUGUGACAAAAAUGACCAAUUAUGGAAGGCCUUCAGUUGCCAACCCAAGUCAGGCUUAUUGAGGGAGGGCUGGCCUCACAAUAAAGCCAAUUUCUUUUUGGCUUGGAGACUUUUAUUUUUGUGUCUCAGUUAAUAAAUUUCCAUCAGAUUUAUUUAAAGUUCUAAAUCCUUUCAAAAUCAUUGUUCUCUAUUACAUUAUUAUUGGUAUAUGUGACAUGGGCACUGUACCCCCAGAAACCCAGGCAAACUAUUAUCAGGGAAACUCCCUUGCUCUCUUACAUCCUCAUGACUCUGAGCCUAAAAACACCCAAUGACCCCUCUAGGGUACUGAGAUGACUAUCUUCCUUUGAUCAUCCUCUAGAUUUAAGAUCUAGAUUAAGAUUAAGGGAUAGAGAGAAGCACAUCCAGGCCACACCUUGAACCUAUCAGACAUCUGUUUGUUCCCUAAAACUAAGGAAUCUUUAUGUCCCCAGGCAGACCCCAGUAUGAUCAUCCCACCUCAUGCCUGAGUGACCAACACUCUCUAUUGUAAAAAGUAUAAAUCCCCAGAACUGAUGUUGUCUGGGGGAACAGCCUUUCCAUUCAUGCUGUCCUCCUAAGGAACUGCUCCCCAUCUUGCUGUUCCACCUUGCUAUCCUCCUGGCCAUUCUCAACAUUACUUUCUAAAUUAAUAAAUUCCUCUUUUUGGUUUUAAGCUAAGUUUUGGAGUCUUGCAUUCUUGCAAAAGGUAUCCUUCCUGAACUCACCCAGGGGUACACAUCUGCACCCCCAUAACAUUUGUAGGAGUUGCCUGCAGUUCCUAUACAAUUUACUCAUGGGUGGUGACCUGAGAAGGAGAAAGGAAACUGAAGGAAAAUGGAUGAAGAGAUAAUAGAGAUAGAGGGAGAAACAAAGGAAUAAAGACUCAGAGACAGCAAGUUAAAAUAUGGGCUACAUGUCGCCGUGCUCCCCAGACAGAAGUUAGAGAGAGCUCCACAUGUGCCCUCCAACUUUUAUUGGAGAGUUUAUGAAUGAGGAGUGGGAGGUAACUAAUGAACAUGUGGCAUGGCAUAGACUUUAACAUUAGUUCAAUUGACAAUCAUGAAAUUAAAGAGGAGGAGACUAGUCCAACAUGGGACUUGGAAAGGAAUGUGGCCUAACAAGGCAUGAGCUAGGACUCUGUGGCUGAUAAUGUCCUACUCAGGAAUACUUUUGUCCUUUGGACUGAAGAUUUGGCAAUACAAUAAUCAAUAAGUAACAUGGCCAUGAGUCUGGCAUAUGAACACAUAAGAUACAAUAUCAAUAUCAAUGUCAAUCAUACUUUCCAAGAUGUUAAUAUGCCUAGUAUGCUACAUAUCCCCUUUUUGUUUAAAAAAAUAAAAUAAGAGUGUGUGAUGUUAAAAAUAAAUUAUAAACUAAACCAAAACAACAAAAAUAGCAAUGAGUAUAGCAAAAUAACAAAUUAAAAAAAUGAAAUCUAAAUCACAUAGCAAAAUUAAGUUAAAUUUUAAAAAUUUAUGUAAGACCAAUGAUAAAAAUAACCUUAACUCACUAGUCAUCCUGAAUUAAUGUGAUCAGUCUCAUAGUCCUAUAAGACAGGUAUAUUAAUAUAAUAUUUUACCCAUGUUCAGCCAGGACUGUAAGAAGUUGCCAGACCUUUAAAUAUAAAGAAAGUAUAUGGGUAUUUGUUGUAAGAUCAAUGCUUAUCAUGUACCUGAAGAAUUCAAAUGGUAUUUGUACAAUAUGUAACUUGCAAUUAUUUUAUUGGAAUUGUUUCAUAUUACCCAAAUUUGAUCAAAAAACAAAUUGUACAAUUGGAAAUGUUAUAACAACACAUUGGAUACUGUUCAAUUACAACACAAAUUGUUUAUAUUAUCCAAAAUGUAUGUAUGAUAAUUGUCUUAAAUGGUUCAUUUUAUAUUUGCAAAAAAAAAAAGUAUAUCUUUAUUAGAAUUAGACUUAUUUUAAAACCAAUUUAGCUGGAAAUUGCAUUUAAGUUUUUAAAUGUAAAGGGGAUGUAAUGGUACUCCUAACCAUCAAUCACUUCUCCAUCCCAGAAGGGCUAUAGGCCAAAAUGCAAUAACAUUUUGAAUGUAAUGAUAAGGAUUACACUGUAUAGUAGCCCUGGAUUUUGUUGAAUGUUACCAGGAGAUAAAGACUAUAGGGGACCCCAACAGGAUGAUAACAUUGGGUCGAGGGUUUGUUUGUAUUUCUACAGAUAGUGGAAACAUCUGGAGACCCACAAAGCACAUCAUGCCAUGUGACACAGGACCAGGAAAAGAAGCAGACAAAUAGCACAGAUGAUAUCAGUCAACUGCACAAGACACACUUGACGAGAUGCUUUCAGCAGGGGACAUCUCUCUCCUUUUGCCUCACUGGCAGCCAUGUUCCCUCUCUCCCUUCAAUUCCUCCAAUUCUUGCUACAAACCUUCCAUAUCCUCUGUUCUUCAUAUCCACUCAUCUUUCCAUAUAAAUAUUACAGUUUUUGGCAGAGCCAGCUAGGUUUUCCAACCUAUUUUGUCAGGAAUUUGGGAAAAAGAAGGCAGUUGGAGGUGUCAGAGCAGUUUCAGAGAAAUUGGGCCUACAUACAUUUCAAAAGCCUGUAUGACUGUGGAAAGCAGCUAUUUUGAGAGCAGUGUUGAGUGCAACUAAUCUGCCUAGUAACACCACAGCCAAAAGAAACCACUCCUUCUGAAGGGAGGAGGCAACUCUUAAAGGGCCAGACUUAAAAACAUUUCUACUGUUGCAAAAGGCUUUUCAAGAUAUAAGAUGGCAAAGAAACUAUUACUUGCCACGUGUUAUCUAGGCUGGAUUGGACAUUUCUUUUAUAUGUUUUACAACUUAUUUUUUUGUCAAGAUUCCAGAUUAUAUAUAUUUUUUGCUUAAGAUCUAUGAAAGUUUUCAAUGGCUGAAUAUAAAUGUAAAUCACUUGAUUUCAUUUAUUCCCACAUAUGCUGGAGUGUUAUUCUUCUUAGUCCAAUUAUACUAUGCCCUAAAAAAGGUGUGCAUCUAAUUGAUGUGAAAAAAGCAAAAGACAAUGAAAUGGCCGUGAUGAUUUUAGCCAUGAGGGAGGAGAUGAUGCAACUAAAACAAAUGAUUAAGCAACUGACUGAGGAGAAACAAAGUGGCAAAUAUAUUAACACACAACAUGACAUACCUAAAACUAACAAUGUAGUUAAGCAAGAAUAUACAGGUGAGGUUGAAGGUGGAAUACCAAUAUUGCCACUAAGAGAUCAAACAAGCCUGCAACCAGAUAGCAGCAUAAUUCAUAUUAAAACAUCCAUUGCUAUUCAUGGGGAAAGUGGAUGAUGAACAAGUUCAGAAUGAAGGUACAAUAUUUGAAAUACCAAAUGAUAUACCAGAAGGACAUUGGGCUACACAUUCUACAGAUGUAGGGAUUCUAAAGUCAGCAACACCAGUAAAAGUAGAAGUUAAAGAAGGGACACCACCAAGGAUACCACAAUACAAACUAAGUAAAAAAAAGCCAUAGAUGGAAUAAACCCAAUUAUCCAAAGUUUGUUGGAUCAGAAAAUUUUAAUCCCAACAAUUUCAGAAUAUAAUACACCAAUAAAACCCAUAAAGAAAACGAAAUGUGACUCUGAAGAAAAAGUUCAAUGGAGACUGAUUCAAAAUUUAAGAGCAGUAAAUAACUUCGUAAAAAAAAGUCCCAUGCAGUCAUUCCAAGCCCAUCUAAAACAAUUUCUGAAAUUCCAAAAAAACAUCCAAUUUAAAGAAACCAAAAUCGUGCACUAUGUGGAUGACAUUCUUCUUGAAUCCUUAUCUGGUAAAGUUUGUUACCAGGACAGUAAAAAAACUCCUCCCAGCUAGCUCGCCAAAAACUAUAAUAUUUAUAGGGAAAGAUGGGGGGGACUGAAAAAAUAGGAGAUACUGUAAAAAUGGAGAUUUGAACCCCAGAUUUCAAUCCCCAGAAGUCGUUGCUCUAGUUCCCAAGAUGCCCUCUAAUCUCACUGAGAUUUUCACCGGGAUGGGAUCAAAAAUUUCUAUUUAACCCAGACGAAUCACACGUUGGCUAAGGGAAGCGGUGGGGGGGGGGGGGGGGUUGGGGAGGAGGAAAAGAAAAUUAUCUGUUUCCAAUGAACAAUGUAUGAAAAUGACCAAAUAAAAUAAUAUUUUAAAAACUAAAAAAAAAAAAUUCUAUUUAACUGGCUGUAAAAGCCUACUGGGUUCUCUUCCUACUUCUGCUUCCAAGCAGAUGUGUCUCUCAUGAUGUAAGUGAAAUUGAAUGGGCCUUUCAGCCCUCUUAGGCACGUGCUUUCUUAUUUGUAUUUUCUUAAUCUCUUAAUCUUUAAUAAAUCUCAUAAAAUAUAAUACUUCUAGCAGAGAAAACAAAUUUUUAACUGCUACAGUUUGGCGUAACCACUUCGGGAAAACGAAAUACCCUCAAUCUUCAGAUCAGCCUUUAAUAGCUAGUGCCUAGUUUGUUUUUUAAGCCACGUUUCUCCAAGAUGCUUUUUUAGAAAACAAUCUUGAUCAGUUCCGGCCUUCCCACCGGCUCGGCUCGCUACUGUUGCCUGUAAUCUGGACCUGUUUGAUUCUAAUUGCUCCUGCUCCUGGCUAUUACUUCCCCUCCCUCCCUGCUGCUGCCUGCCUGUUUCUGCGACACAGACCCUGGGCGGCUCCUGCUCCUGGUCUUUCUCUCGCUCACCUGGCCCAGCUGAUUCCCGCACCUCUGGCCUCUGACCCAGAUGGCUUAUCACCUAGGCUGCUGGUAGCAGACCCAAUUUCCCCCGGACUCAUUUCUAUCAGCUGGUAAAGACUGGGAGGUAAUUUUCUCUUAGGCUAUGAUUAGCCUCCCUUGGACUGGGGGCAGGGAAAUCACAGGAGGGGAGAAAGAAAGGGAAAGAAGGAAGAGACUUUUCCAAACAGGAAGUUGAUUACAAGCAUGGCAUUUUUCAAAGAAUAUCUUUUGAGUGCACUGGUCCUUUUAUUUAUCUCACUUGAGAUUCAGGAGAGAAAUUCAUCUCCCUGCAACUCUUUGCCAUUUGUUGAUAUUCCAAAAACUCACUAUGGGAGGGCAGCUGGGUGGCUCAGUGGACUGAGAGCCAGGCCUAGAGAUGGGAGGUCCUGGGUUGGAAUUUGGCCUCAGACACUUGCUGGCGGUAUGGCCCUGAGCAGGUUGCUUAAACCCUAUUGCCUAGCCCAUACCAAUCUUCUGCCUUCUGACAAUAGGCAUCGAAAUGGAUAAAAAACGAAGGAACUUUAAAGAGACUGGAGGUUAUAUUUUUAAGGCAUUUCAGACUCCAAUGUUUUAUAAAAAUCUCUGUACUCUAUUGUAUUUUACUGAUUGCUUUGUUUAUGGUUUAACUUUGUGAUUUUAAGUUCAUAUAUUACUGCAUUCCAUACUAUUGUGUUAUACUGAAUCAUUUUAAUGUACUGAGUUUUAACUACUGUUAAAUUCUGUUCCUUUUUCCCUAUAACCAUACUGAAUGAACAAACAUUGAGUAAACACAUACAAAAAAACAGCUUUUCUAUUUUUGACUUUGUAAAUUGUCACAUAGAGGAUAGAUGAACUCCAUCAGAAAAAUUGCUAUAACAACCUUUGGAAAAUUUAAUGUGCUAAAUAUCUCAAUUGAUUUUAAGGGUUUUUAAGACAUGAUUUUUAGAAUUUUUCUUAAUCUCUGGUCAUUUUUGCCUGCCCCUAAAACGAGUUAAGGCCCAUUCUAGUAGCUGAAGUAAAAUACAAUUAUAACCCCUAACCUUCCCACAUUUCUAAACAUGUGAAUGGAAGUUGGGCAAUUAAUCCCAGGGCAUUUGUACCCCCAGAAGCCUCCAAAAAAAGGAGCACCUCUCAUUUAUACUCUUCAGCUCACUACUUAACUUCCACUAGAAUGAUCUCUAGAUUUCUUGAUGAUGUUCUAAACCCAAAAUGAGUUUUACCUUGUUUAAAUACCAAGGUUGAAAGAUUUGCUACAUUUGUAAAAAUUGUGACAAAUAUCCAUCAGUUCAUAGGCUUUAAAAAAAAAUGCCAUACAGCAAAUUAUGUGAAAUAUGAUACUAUGUUUGUUUGCUAUUGUAAUUAAUUGGGCUAUUGGGAAUUUGGGGGAUACUGAUUCCUACAUAUUUGUACUACUGUUCUUUAAAAAUGAAAAAUGUUACCUUGUUCAAUUCAUUUGCUUGCACUCACAGUGCAUCAUGGCCAGAUAUGAAGAGGAAAUGGAUCUCGUUUUUGGUGAGAAAGCCUGGUAUUCUAUAUUUUCUUAGCUGACACAGUGUGUCAAUGAUUAUAAGCUAUAUUUUUGAAUUUUAAAACUUUAUUAUAUUUUUCUUGCAUGUGCAAUAUACUAUUUCAGGUUUUGCAUUUUUCUCUCCUUUUUCUCUCCUUUUUGAAGCACAUGCCACCAGUAUUAAGCCUUUCUUUUAACUUUUUUGAUUUUGCAGUAAUAUGUUUAAAAUACAUUUGCUAAUGCAUGCCCCCAAAAUUUGAGACUAUAAAAAUGAUGCCACUAAUUGUUUUAAAAAAAUUAUGGGACUUUGCUUAAUAAUUCUGUCUGAUUCCAGGACAAGAUAUACACAAAAGAGCCAUUACAUAGGGUCAAAGAUAAACCAAUCCAGGACAGAUUGAUGCACUUCUAAGCCAAUACAAAGGUCUUGAACCUAGUGUGAAGACUACAGGUUGCUAUGUUUAACAUUUGUUAAGACAUAGACCUUCCUUGUGUCCACACUUACUGAAAAUACUUACAGAUGAGUAUCCCCAAACUUGGCUCCUACUUGGCUCCAAUAAUCUGGUCCCUUUUCUGUCUUUCAUAGUGUGCAAACUUUCUGUAGUCCUGUAUACUGAUGGGGUAAAUGCAUCAUUGCUUAGAUAAUUUUAUUGGGCCCUGAUUCAAGGAUCUGUUAUAGAUUUGUUUUUCCUUGACUUAGAAUUUUUACACAUAAGACUUUGAUAGUCUAUAUUUUCAUCCAGUAAUUUUUUUAUUUGGAUUUUUCUGAUGUCUUUUUAAUUUCUCUUGCCAAUUGAUUCAUAUACCUCAUAACUCAGCUAUGCAUCCCUAAGUGAUCCUGUAUUUUUCAAUCACCCUUUUAACGGGGAAAUGUAAAAAAAUAUUAUUAUUUUAAAUUGCAAAGUUUAAAUUUCCUUUUAAGAAGAAUUUUAGGUAAAGAAAGAUGCUACCUCUCCGAAUCCAGAAACUGAACCGCUUGGAGAAGACAACACAAAGAUGCCUCUAGACCACAAGCUGCACAAGAAGAUCAAAAUGAACUUUGGGUGUGGUUGAUUGAACAUUUAUUUGUAUCUAUACUUUCAUGCCAAAGGGGACUGCCCCCUAACUGGCUUUUUGCCAAUGUGUCUAGCAAUUAUUUUUUUUCUUCUCUUUUCCUCAAAUUAUUGUAAUCUUUAGGUUGAUUAUGUUUUCAUGAUCCUUUUAGGGAAAUUUUUUUUUUCCCCAACGAGGAUCAUAUGGAGAAAUGUAAAAAUGGAGAUUUGAACCCUGGACUUCAAUCCCCAGAAGUCCUUGCUCUAGUUCCCAAGAUGCCCUCUAAUCUCACUGAGAUUUUCACCUGGGUGGGAUCAAAAAUUUCUAUUUAACUGGCUGUAAAAGCCUACUGGGUUCUCUUCCUACUUCCACUUCCAAGCAGACACAUCUCUCAUGAUGUAAGUGAAAUUGAAUGGGCCUUUUGGCCCUCCUAGGCACAUACUUUCUUGUAUUUUCUUAAUCUCUUAAUCUUUAAUAAACCUCAUAAAAUAUAAUACUUCUAGCAGUAAAACUAAUUUUACUUGCUACAAUAUGGAAAGUUUGUAGCAGGGAAUGGAGGAAUUGAAGGGAGAGAGGGAAUAUGGCUGCUGAUGAGGCAAAAGGAGAGAGAUGCCCCCUGUUGAGAGGUUAUUUUUGAACAAAUGGGGGUGUCCGAGAAAUGGGCCCCUUAUGAUAGGCUGCGGAGAUGUCUUCUCUAUGGAUUGAUGCCAAAGAUGCCCUAGAGCAGGUAAACAUGGACCCUCCUGAUGGACAAGCCUUUCCCCACACUUUGGUCACUCAGCAGGGGUCAGAUAAGGACCGUUUGUAGUUGGAUGACUGUCCUGAGGUUCAGCUCCCUCUAUGCCCCUGAAAAGAUAGUCCACUUAUCUGACUGUGAUAUUCAAAUAAGAUAAAUUUUAAUAACUAGUUCUGAUUGGAGAGGUAUCAGGGAAGAGGGAAGGGGGAUUUCUCUAGAUACGGUCUCAGUCUUUCUCAGCUUUGGAGCUGAGACCAGGCCUCAUAGGCUGGUGGAGGUUUUCUCUUAUUCCUGUCUACGCUAUAUCUGUGCUAAUCUUCCAAUUUCAAAAUAUUAGCAGUAGACAGUAAGCAACAAGAAAAGUUCUGAACUUCAGAGCUGGUUGGGCCUUUAUCUUUGGGCUGAAGAAAAUAGAGGCACUUCACUCCAGAGCCUGGGAAGCCAAAACCCCUCUUCCUUCCAAUGCCAUGAAGGAAGUGCUAGUCACAAGACCAACUGCCACUCCCAGUUGCCCCUUCCCCCGCCAACUGUCAGCCUUGUCAAUUUCUUCUCUCUCUAAUAUUCCCACUGUUGUUUGUUCCAACAUAGUAGCAGAAAGUCCAGAACUUGUUUUAGUUUCCUUUCCACACUUCCAAGGACCAAACUGAGGACCUUCAGCUUGCAAGACUGACAUGCUGCCUACUGCACCAAAGAGUCACUCAACUUCAGCUUCAGCUUAGCCCCCAUCUGAAGUGGAUUGUGGAUUCUCACAGGAAUAGGCUCAACCCUGAGGCUUUCACCUCUGAGCUAAAUAAAACUGGGGAAUCACCACAUCAUUCCAAGCUACAAGUCUGGGGACUUCUAGAUUCCACAUUGACAAUAGAUAGAUAAAAUGAUUCAAAUUUAUAAGAUAAAUCCAUAUCUAUCAAUCUAUCUUGUAUAUAAGACUGAUCAGAGAAAACUUGGAUAUAAAGAUUUUUCCCCAAUUGUUGUUUCCCUUCUAAUUUUUACCAUGUUGUAUUUACUUGUGCCUAUAAUCAAAUUUAUUUUAUCUUUCACAAUUCUUUCUAUUGCUUAUUUAAUUUUGAACUUUCCCCCUGUCUAUAGAUCUAAAAGGUAAUUUCUUCCAUAUUUCUUAUUGUUUUUAUUGCAUCCUUAGAAGAAAAGUGUGAGAAAACAUCCCUACAAUGCUGAAGAUCAACCUUCUCACCCUGGAAGAUGCCUCUAGACCUGUGACCCCUACCUGAUUGUUAAGUUCCCCUAGAACAUUUAUUUUAAGAAAGGAUGUGGGCUAGUUAUAUUCCUCCCCAUUCGCUCCUCUUCUGGCUCUACCUAGAACAUUCUGGACAUCUCAGCCUCCUACCUUUCUGCUUCUUUUUGCAUUUUCUUCCAUUAGAAUAUAAGUUCCUUGAGAGUGGGGACUUUCUUUUUUCCUGUACAGGUAUCCCUUUCACAUCUCAGAAAAAAUUAAAUGAGAAUUUUCUGGGUAGUUUUGUGGGAAAUGCAGUUGAAACAUUUAAGGGCAGCAGAAGAUACAGAAAAAAUUUAGAAACACCAAAAUGCAGAAAAUAUAUGUAUGGCAUUGUAUAAUAUCAACAUACUUAAUCUUUUAAUACUAUAAAUAUCACACAAUUUCUUUUUGAAAGUUAAAAUAAGUAAAAGUUAGUUUGUGAAAAGAAUAUAAAAGCCAACAGAUGCCAUAUAAAGGCUAAAAAUGUUUACAUUGACCUCAAAGUUAUGAGCCUAUGACCAAAUACUCAACCCAAAUUUUACAAUAAGGUACUGUAGACAUCCCACAAAAAAGAAAAUUCAGACUUCUCUGGUACAAAGGAAGGGCCAUUUUUAGGUAGAUUUCCAUUAUAUCAUGAUCCUUCUUAAAGAGUGUGCAUCUUUUUUUUUUUUGGUAUGUUGAUGUUUAUAAUUUAUAUAAAUUCAGGCAUUAGUUGAGCAAUCUAGGUAGAUUGUUUGGUGUCACCAGAGCCUUCCUGUCACCAUUCCCUGUUUCUGGAUCAUAAAGCACCAAUUAAAACUAAUCACUGUUAAGAAAGGAAUCCUUAAGGCUAGAUAACCAUAUUACUAGAUUCUAUUCCCACAUUGGCAAGGUUUUUAUUGUUUAAUCUUUCAGUUGUGUACAAUUCUUUGUGACCCCAUUUAAUAUUUUCUUGGCAGAGAUACUUAAAUGGUUUGUUAUUUCUCUUUAGCUUGUUUUACAGGUGAGGAACUUAGGCAAAAAAGGUUUUUUGACUUGCCCAGGAUCAUACAACUCCUAAGUGUCUGAGGCCCCCUUUAAAAUCAAGAAGAUAAGUCUUUCUGACUUCAGUACUCUAUCGACUAUGUAAGCUAGCUUUCCCUACUGGGCAAAAUAAAGAUUUAAAUAUAGAUUCUCGGGGGUACAAUACCCUCUAUAAUUUUUUAAACAUAUAUUUGUGUUGAUACUAAGAUGUCUAGAAUCAAAUAUCCUAAAGUAUAAAAUGAGUUUUGCUCAGGUUUAUUCCUUAUUACAUGACAUUACCAAUUUUUAAAAAUUGUCUUCUAUGGUAGGAUGUCAACAUCAAUAGAUAUUAAUUCUUAUGUCACCAUUUUCUCAUGAAUCACAAAUGUUAAGUCCUGAUAUAGCACAUUUUACGUUAACUGGUAACUAAUUUGGCUACUGAUAAGCUUUGAAUUCUUUUACCUUCUACUUUUCAUAUGGUUUUGAAAUAAUAGUUGAUAUUUUAAUAAAUAUAUUUUCUUAAAAAUUGGUUCACAGUAUAUUACUACUGACUUGGAUUUAGGUAUUUUUAUUAUUACCCUACCAAUUUUUUUUUUCUUUUCAGUGUUUAUUGGCAUUCUCUUUCCCUUAACUGAUCAAUUCAACAUAUAUUUACUGAGGGGGGGCACCUGGGUGGCUCAGUGGAUUGAGAACCAUGCCUAGAGAUGGGAGGUCCUGGGUUCAAAUUUGACCUCAGACACUUCCUGGCUAUGUGACUCUGGGCAAGUCACUUAACCCCCACUGCCCAGCCCUUACUGCUCUUCUGCUUUGAAACCAAUACACAGUAUUGAUUCUGUGGCAGAAGGUAAGGGUUUUUAAAAAAAUAAAAUAAACCAUAUAUUUAUUGUGUGUACUGAACCUAAGAAUCAGACUAAUAAGUUGCUUCUUGCAUGAUCUUAGGCAAAUCACUGGGCUUCAGUUCUUUAAUCUGUGAAAAUGAAGAUAAUAUUUACAUUGUUCCCUUAGAAUUAUGAAAUAGAAAGCAUUUUACCAGCCAUACAGCAUUGUAGAAAUAUAAGCAAUUAAUUAAUUUUUAUAAUGUCCAAGAUUUGGGAUUUCCCAAAUGUAGGAGAACUACAGGGAGGAAAUUUUCUUAGCCAAUGUAGACUAACCAUUUUUCUUAAUAAUUUUAGAAAGUUGUCAAGGGUACUAAAACAGUAAGUGAUGCUUCAUCAGUAGCCAAUAAAUGUCUAAGGUAAAAUUGGAACCCAGGUCUCACUGUUUCUAGCUCUCUAGCCAUUAAAUUUGACUCUUUGAUAUUUUGCUUUUUAAGAGCAUAUGAAAUGUAAACAUGUAAAGCCCAAUGGAAUUGCUCAUUGGCUAUGAGAUGGGGGUGGGAGGAAGGUAAGGGAAAGAACAUGAAUUAUUUAACCAUGGAAAAUAUUCUAAAUUAAUUAACUAAAAAAUUUUGGAUCAUAAAAAAGCAUAUGAAUGACUUGUCAAUCUAUCACAAAAAGUUAAAGUGAAGAAAGUUCACUAAUAAUACUUUUUAAAAAUCAUUUAAUUAUUCAAUUGAAUCUUGAUGGUAAGUGCUUAAAGGAAUGAAAUCCACUUGUCUCUCAAAGUGAUGUAGUUUCUAUCAAUCUUUACAUAUCUCAAAGGGCUUUCUUCAUCAUAAACUAACAAUUUCAGCAGGAUAUCCUGUGCCACUGAGAACUCUUAACCAGUAUUACCAGGAGAUUCUACCUGAACUACCCUAUGCUCUAGACCAAUUGUAAAGGUCAAUUUGAAAAUAGAUCUGUUCUGUCCAAGUUUUGAGAAAUGAAAAUAGCAUUCUUUAAAAAUAACACUAGGAGUCACUAUGAGUCAGAUUCUCUCACUAUUCUUAACAUGUUAGGGAUUUUGAUAACAGUUUUAUUAUGUCUGAAAAGUUUAUUAAGUACCAGACUUUUAGCCCUGGGCUUGACUGUGCCAAGUAAUUUCACAGGGCAUCACAAAAUUGUUAUAAAAUUAUUUGUACUAUUUAUAAUUUCCUGAAUACAUAAAAUAAAAUUCUCCCUUAGCACUUUUAGAAAAGAAUAUCAUAAGAUGAGAAAGUAUUAAAAAACCAAAACAGCCAAUUAAAACUGAUAGUGCUGAACCAGAGAAUAGCAUAUUCUCUGAUAAUAAUUGAGUGAACUAUGAAGACAAUGGCACCUCGGCAUUAUUCUUCUAUGCCUCAAGAGGUUCACGGAGUUAAAACUAAUAAAUGAAUGUACAAAAAAGCAUUUAAUAAGCAUGGUGUUGCCCUCUAUAAUAAUACUCUAGGUAGGGAAGGGCAUGGGGAAAAAGUCACUCAAUCAAUAAACAUUUAUUAAGUGCCUAUACCAUAUGUCAGGUACUGUGCUAAGGGCUGGGAAUACAAAAAGAAACAGAAGACAUUUACUGUCUUCAAAGAACUAACAAUCUAAUGGGGGAGGAAAAAUGCAAACAAAUAUAUAAAAUCUAAACACAGGACAAAUAAUACUUAGUAGAGGAAAGGCAUUAGAAUUAAGAAGGUUUAGAGAAGGAUUCCUAUGGGAAGAGAUUUUCCUUGGGAAAGCCAGGGAAACCAGGAGGCAGAGUAAUUGAAUCCAAGGCAGUCUAUGAUAUCAAGUAAAGUAGCAUAGAGGGAGAAGAGAAAAAGUUUCAGAAUAUAACCUUGCUGGACAUUUAAGGUAAGAUACUGUGAUCUGGAUGAGAAAUUAGCAAAGGAAACUCAGAAAAGGUCAGAGAGAUAGGAGAAGAGGAAAGAGAUGCCCUGAAAAUCUAGGGAGAAGUGAGUACCAGGGAGAAGCAACUGAUCAAGAGCAUCACAGACUACAGAGAGGUUGAAGAGAAUGAAGAUUGGGAAAAAAUCAUUGGAUUUGGCAAUUAAGAUGGUGACAUAAAAACAGGACCCAUUAGAGCUCUCCCAAAUUCCCCUCCAAAAGAUUUCAAAACAAAAUUAAUUCUGGAGUGGCAGAGUCAACAAAAAGUUAGACUGAAACAAUUUUUCUUCCUGAGACAACUUAGAAGAUUGGCAAGAAAGGUCUCCCUCACUGGGGUUAGAAUGGAGUACAGUGCAGCCAUGCCUAGAAACCUAGCAGCAAGCCUUGGAGAUGUGAGCAGCAGGAGAGUUAGCUACUGCUAGGGUUCUCAACCCACAGGCGGUAAAGGAGUAAGAUAACUGGUUAGAAGGAAAUUAUAGGAAAUUCUGGCACUGAGUUUAAGACUCUUGCAUUGGCCAUAUGCCAUUCUGGGUUACGAUCCCAAGUUGAUUAGUAGCAAGGGAAGAGGGACCACUCAGGUUAUAGUUCCAGGGCAGAAAAAUAUGCUAAUGGUCAUUCACAAACCAGAAAAUAGGACAAGAGAGCAGUGACCACACCUUUCCUUAGGUCAUACUCCCUUUGAAGAACUGAAAACUUAUAGAUCCUCAGAACUCUGAAAACAGUAGCUUAAAAAACCUGAAACUUGUCAUAAACCUAAAAGAAAAUAAAACAAAGCAGCUUAAUGAAAAACCUCAAAGGAAAAAAUAUUACAUUGAUCAGGACAAAAAAAAAUUUGUGGAAGAGCAAAAAAAAAUUUUUUUUAAAUCAAAUCAGAGAGAUAGAUGAAAAAUUAGAAAGAGAAAGGAGAAUGAUGCAAGAAAUUUAUGAAAAGAGAGUCGACAGCUUUGUAAGAGGCACAAAAA